GCCGGUGUGAUGGAAUGGCAGACGUGACGGAUUCAAAAUCCGUUGGGGAGACCCGUGUGGGUUCGAGUCCCACCACCGGCA
rnacentral:tRNA from 2 species